UACGUAGGGUGCAAGCGUUAAUCGGAAUUACUGGGCGUAAAGCGUGCGCAGGCGGUUUUGUAAGUCUGUCGUGAAAUCCCCGGGCUUAACCUGGGAAUUGCGUUGGAGACUGCAAGGCUAGAAUCUGGCAGAGGGGGGUAGAAUUCCACGUGUAGCAGUGAAAUGCGUAGAGAUGUGGAGGAACACCGAUGGCGAAGGCAGCCCCCUGGGUCAAGAUUGACGCUCAUGCACGAAAGCGUGGGGAGCAAACAGG
rnacentral:rRNA from 1 species